rnacentral:rRNA from 1 species
UACGUAGGGUGCGAGCGUUAAUCGGAAUUACUGGGCGUAAAGCGUGCGCAGGCGGUUUUGUAAGCCAGAUGUGAAAUCCCCGGGCUUAACCUGGGAACUGCAUUUGGGACUGCAAGGCUUGAGUACGGCAGAGGGGGUAGAAUUCCUGGUGUAGCAGUGAAAUGCGUAGAUAUCAGGAGGAAUACCGAUGGCGAAGGCAGCCCCUGGUCGAUACUGACGCUGAGGUGCGAAAGCGUGGGAGCAACAGG